rnacentral:rRNA from 1 species
GAUGAACGCUGGCGGUGUGCCUAAUACAUGCAAGUCGAGCGAACAGACGAGGAGCUUACUCCUCUGACGUUAGCGGCGGACGGGUGAGUAACACGUGGAUAACCUACCUAUAAGACUGGGAUAACUUCGGGAAACCGGAGCUAAUACCGGAUAACAUGUUGAACCGCAUGGUUCAACAGUGAAAGACGGUCUUGCUGUCACUUAUAGAUGGAUCCGCGUCGCAUUAGCUAGUUGGUAAGGUAACGGCUUACCAAGGCAACGAUGCGUAGCCGACCUGAGAGGGUGAUCGGCCACACUGGAACUGAGACACGGUCCAGACUCCUACGGGAGGCAGCAGUAGGGAAUAUUCCGCAAUGGGCGAAAGCCUGACGGAGCAACGCCGCGUGAGUGAAGAAGGUCUUCGGAUCGUAAAACUCUGUUAUUAGGGAAGAACAAAUGUGUAAGUAACUAUGCACGUCUUGACGGUACCUAAUCAGAAAGCCACGGCUAACUACGUG